AAGUAUUAGUAAUACAGUGCACUCCUCUGCUGGACGUCCCCGACAUCGCUCUGCCCCCAGUCGCCAUCCGCGCCGCCGCUCCUUCCCCGGCCACGCUCCAUCCCGGCGUCGCUCCGCCCCUGGCCGUCGUUCCCGAUCUGGUCCGUCCCCGUCCUCGACGUCGCUCCACCCCGGCCGCCGUCCGCUCCGCCGCUCCUUCACCGGCCGCGCUCCGUCCCGGCGCCGGUCCGCCCCCCGGCGGUCGUCCCCGAUCUGCUCCGUCUCCGUCUCCGUCCCCGCCGCCGCUCUGUGCCCAGCCGCGCUCCGUCCCCGGCAUCGCCUCGGGUCCGCCAGGUCACUGCUGCCCAAAUCUCCGCCGCGCCGUCGCCGCACGGACCCGGAGACCAACCGGCUCGCCUCCGCCCCAAAUCCCCGCCGCCGUGCUGAAUCAAUGCCGCGCCCUAGCGCCUCGCCUCCGACCAAAAUCUCCGCCGCACCGCCAGUGCCGCGUCGCCGCCACGCCGACGCUCCCAGCCCUGAUCCACGUCGCUGCUGCCGCUGCGAUACUGCGGCGCCGCGCCGCCAGCGCCACGACCCCGCCGCACGGACCCGGAGCGGCCAUCUGACCUCGCCAUCGCGGCCAGGUUCGCGUUCAAGGGAGCACGUGGGGUGUUUGCAUCGAAAGGCUUGGAGGCCACUGGAUGCGAUGAGGGGCUGCUUAGACUGAGUCCAACAGAUAGAUGCAAAAUGGAGAGGCAUUUCCUCCAUUUGCGUUGUACACAGUAGAGGGAUCCCGCAUGCGAAAAUCCUCGUCUCCAACACACGGAGGCAAACGCAUAUGCAUACCUCCACCGUGCCGCCAAGCUCGCAUUGCUCCCCUCCUCUGAUCCCUCCGCCCGCGAGCCCCCAGUGCCUCCUCCCCCUGUGCCUCCUCAUUCCCGCUCGCGCGCGCCGGGGCCUCCGCGACUCGUUCCUCCCCGGCGGCGGCCAUGGCGGGUCGCGGGGCCUCCAUGGCGCAUUGCUCCCUCCCCUCCUCUGUUCCCUCUGCCCGCGAGCCCCCGGUGCCUCCUCCCCCGGUGCCUCCUCCUCCUCGCUCGCGCGCCGGGGCCUCCGUGGUGCAUUGCUCCCCGGCGGCGGCCAUGGCGGGCCCCAGGAGCUCGCGGUCGCGACCGCCGGCCCUGGAGCGGCGGUGGAUGUGGCCCUCGUGGCGGGGUCGAUCCGCGGGAGCUCGUAGGACACCGGCGGGCCGUCGUACUCGAGCGCGAUGGAGUAGUCGAGGUUGGCGGGCGGCUCCGGGAUGGUGGUCUCCGGCGGGAACAUGCGGCGCACCAGGUCCUCCCAAUCGCCCCCGCCCGCCACCCGGGCCAGGCCUCCCUUGCUCCAGCGGCCUCUGCUCCGGCUGCGAGGAAGACGACGAGGAGGGGGAGAGACAGCAGCCCCGCCGGAGGUGAGGAGGGGGCCGCUCCAUCGCCUUCCGCCGCGCUCGCCCCGCGCCGCUGGCCAAAUGCAUUCGAGGAGAGAGGGGAUGUAUUUUUACCUCUCCUCUCUCCUCGAAGGCAAAAUCCAUCGCCGGUUUGCCUGAUCUGUUGGAGAACACUUUCGUAGUGCACAAUUACAAUCGGUGAUGCAAAAAUGGAAUUGCAUAUGCUGUUGAAGUCAGUCUUAUUACACUUUGUAAUCAAGAACGAGGUAUGUGGAUUUAUCUGUCUAUUUCUUUUUUAUGACAAACAAUGUGAUCAAGCAAUUAUUCCAGUCAGAAACUGGUGAGUUGAACUUCAGUGCAAUAUACAACAUGGAUAGCGUGGUAUGAUCUUAGUAAUAUCCAGAUGCAUAACUUUUACUCGAUAGUAAUGAAAGGCACCAAGAAUAUUAGCAUGUCAAGAAAAGUCUUCUGUUCCUAUAGGUCUGUUCCUAUAGGUCUGACCAUGUACUAAACAAUAUGACAAAGCAAUUCAGCCACAUGACCAAUACAAAAAUGCAUGGUCAACCAAUCGAUGAGCAAGGGGAUGGUUAAACAAGUGGUCCUGAUGGUAUAGCUAUUGUCUGAGAACAUAUAUCUUUUUCUGCCAUUCUUUUUCCACAUACCUUUUCGACUUUGAGACUAAUUUUUGAUUCUUUUAUACAACAAGGCACAGAUAUAUGAUUGGUCAAUUCGGAGGCGCAACAACACAAACAAAGUUGUGGCAGUAACAAAUCCUAAAUCAAAGGACACUAGGUAGGAAAGGAUCGCCAGCCAUCCCAGGUUCACUUCACCAAGAUUGAUCGGAGUAGAGAAAAAGCGAUAUAUACAGGAGUAUUUUCAGACAGCAAGGAACCCAUAUCUGAUGCAAAGCUACACUCUGCAGAAUCCUCCGUUCAGAUUUCAGUGACCAUUCGCAACUAUUUCACAUAACCUCUAAUUCAAAGCUGAAUAUGAGGCGUUGAGGUGUUGUGCUACGAGGAGUGUGGCUAAACUUUGAUUAGUUUCACCAGUUAACUUAAGGUAAUAAAUCUAUACUCUGUAACACUAAAGUUUAUUCAGAAGCAGAAUAACCAGGUUGUUUGAGCAUAUUGUCGCUCACUCACUAUGAGGUGAUUUUCUUGGCUGUUUAACUAAUAUGGCCAUUACAAUAUGAUGCGAUUUUCAAAAGUUAGUCUUUAAGCUUUGAUUAGUACAAUCCAUGAGAUUUGGAAGUGUACGUGUAGAGUUAUAAUCUAGGUACCUUUUCAUUUUGCACAUAUCAACAAAAAUUUAAUCGAACUGUUAGGUUUGUUAUUUAUGUUACUGUAAUGAGCUGUAAGCAUGGGAGUCUCAUUCAAAGCUGCCAAUGUAAUCUUUGCAUCUGUCAUGCUUGGUGCUUUACUCCCAGAAUGCCAUUAUAUUUUUAAAAGUAGUGACCAACAAAAUGGGUCAUGCUUAUGCAUGUUUUCAGUUUCAGCAAUAAACCUAGCCACCAUAAAUAAAUUUCUGCAGGACCAUUGUUGGUUCAUUUUUUUUUGUGAAUUGUUUGUUUUUCUCCUAUGUGAACAAAGCUGGUGUGUUAGCAUGUUGACAUUGUGUGGUACUCCCAGUAUCACUGGACUGAUGCGUCUCCAUAAAUCAUUGCUGGACAGCUGGAGCAGUGAAGCUUGCUUUGCCAAGAUAUUUCUGGAUAAAUGAUACUCAAUGAACCUUUUGAAAAUCUAGAUUUGUAGAUGUGAUGCUGAUGCUGAUGGUGGAUCAACCCGGCAGGAAAACAAAGAGGCCUUUGAUUUUCUGAUCGCUCUGGUCAACUGGCAUUUGUCGAAAGAAAGGAAUGCACAGAUCUUAUGGAAUGAUGAGGCGAUCGUGAGUAACAGAAUAAGCAUAGUAGCUGAAGUCCUCGAGACUUAUUUAUGGAUGUAAUAUAUCCAGUGGGCCAAUGCCUUGGUGUUGCAGGUCGUGUAGUAAAACUAUUUGCUUUUGUCUGGCUGGAAGAGGCAACAGAAUGAAUGCAAUCUCAUCUAAUUCAAGAAGGCGUGGGGGCCAUCGAGCACGAGCUAAAUGCCUAAAUCUUGUCUUUUAUAUACUACUAUUUUUAAUUCCAUAUAAGGAUGAAACCUUAUUUCAAUCCUUCAAUUUAGCUAUCAUAUUAGAUUGUAGGAGCGUUGAUUUUGUAUAUAUAUUUCGUAUGCAAUAAAGAAAAAAAAAUAUUUUCGCAUGCA